GACGAACGCUGGCGGCGUGCCUAACACAUGCAAGUCGAGCGGAGAUAAGCGGAUGGUAACUGAAGUUUGUCUUAGCGGCGGACGGGUGAGUAACACGUGGGCAACCUGCCUUAGAGUGGGGGAUAACACCGGGGAAAUCGGUGCUAAUACCGCAUAACAUACACAAACUGCAUGGUAAGUGUAUCAAAGGAGCAAUCCGCUUUAAGAUGGGCCCGCGGCUGAUUAGCUAGUUGGUAAGGUAACGGCUUACCAAGGCGACGAUCAGUAGCCGACCUGAGAGGGUGACCGGGCCACACUGGAACUGAGACACGGUCCAGACUCCUACGGGAGGCAGCAGUGGGGAAUAUUGCGCAAUGGGGGGAACCCUGACGCAGCAACGCCGCGUGAGGAAGAAGGUCUUCGGAUUGUAAACUCCUGUCUUCUGGGACGAAGAAUGACGGUACCAGAGGAGGAAGCCACGGCUAACUACGUG
rnacentral:rRNA from 1 species